GACGAACGCUGGCGGCGCGCUUAACACAUGCAAGUCGAACGAUGAAGUUCCUUCGGGAAUGGAUUAGUGGCGAACGGGUGAGGAACACGUGAGAAACCUGCCCAUCAUUCUGGGAUAACACCGGGAAACCGGUGCUAAUACCGGAUACUCCAUCGCGGCGGCAUCGCUGCGCUGGGAAAGAAUUUCGAUGAUGGAUGGUCUCGCGGCCUAUCAGCUUGUUGGUGAGGUAAUGGCUCACCAAGGCGACGACGGGUAGCCGGCCUGAGAGGGCGACCGGCCACACUGGGAAUGGGACACGGCCCAGACUCCUACGGGAGGCAGCAGUGGGGAAUAUUGGGCAAUGGACGCAAGUCUGACCCAGCGACGCCGCGUGAGGGAUGAAGGCCUUCGGGUUGUAAACCUCUUUCAGUGGGGAAGAAGCGAAAGUGACGGUACCCAAAGAAGAAGCACCGGCUAACUAUGUGCCAGCAGCCGCUGUAA
rnacentral:rRNA from 1 species